rnacentral:rRNA from 1 species
GUACACUCCUACGGGAGGCAGCAGUGGGGAAUAUUGCACAAUGGGCGCAAGCCUGAUGCAGCCAUGCCGCGUGUAUGAAGAAGGCCUUCGGGUUGUAAAGUACUUUCAGCGGGGAGGAAGGCGAUAAGGUUAAUAACCUUGUCGAUUGACGUUACCCGCAGAAGAAGCACCGGCUAACUCCGUGCCAGCAGCCGCGGUAAUACGGAGGGUGCAAGCGUUAAUCGGAAUUACUGGGCGUAAAGCGCACGCAGGCGGUCUGUCAAGUCGGAUGUGAAAUCCCCAGGCUCAACCUGGGAACUGCAUUCGAAACUGGCAGGCUAGAGUCUUGUAGAGGGGGGUAGAAUUCCAGGUGUAGCGGUGAAAUGCGUAGAGAUCUGGAGGAAUACCGGUGGCGAAGGCGGCCCCCUGGACAAAGACUGACGCUCAGGUGCGAAAGCGUGGGGAGCAAACAGGAUUAGAUACCCGAGUAGUCCCAU